GACGAACGCUGGCGGCGUGCUUAACACAUGCAAGUCGAACGGUAAGGCCCUUCGGGGUACACGAGUGGCGAACGGGUGAGUAACACGUGGGUGAUCUGCCCUGCACUUCGGGAUAAGCCUGGGAAACUGGGUCUAAUACCGGAUAGGACCACUGCCUGCAUGGGUGGUGGUGGAAAGCUUUUGCGGUGUGGGAUGGGCCCGCGGCCUAUCAGCUUGUUGGUGGGGUGAUGGCCUACCAAGGCGACGACGGUUAGCCGGCCUGAGAGGGUGACCGGCCACACUGGGACUGAGAUACGGCCCGGACUCCUACGGGAGGCAGCAGUGGGGAAUAUUGCACAAUGGGCGCAAGCCUGAUGCAGCGACGCCGCGUGAGGGAUGACGGCCUUCGGGUUGUAAACCUCUUUCAGCACCGACGAAGCGCAAGUGGCGGUAGGUGCAGAAGAAGGACCGGCCAACUACGUGCCAGCAGCCGCCGUAA
rnacentral:rRNA from 1 species